UACGUAGGAUGCAAGCGUUGUCCGGAAUUAUUGGGCGUAAAGAGCGCGCAGGCGGUAAGUCAAGUCAGAUGUGAAAUAUCCGGGCUUAACCCGGAGGGGUCAUUUGAAACUGAGUAACUAGAGUACAGCAGAGGAUAGCGGAAUUCCCGGUGUAGUGGUGAAAUGCGUAGAUAUCGGGAGGAACACCAGUGGCGAAGGCGGCUAUCUGGGCUGAAACUGACGCUGAGGCGCGAAGGCUAGGGGAGCAAACAGG
rnacentral:rRNA from 1 species